rnacentral:rRNA from 1 species
UUAAGCGACUAAGCGUACACGGUGGAUGCCCUGGCAGUCAGAGGCGAUGAAGGACGUGCUAAUCUGCGAUAAGCGUCGGUAAGGUGAUAUGAACCGUUAUAACCGGCGAUUUCCGAAUGGGGAAACCCAGUGUGAUUCGUCACACUAUCAUUAACUGAAUCCAUAGGUUAAUGAGGCGAACCGGGGGAACUGAAACAUCUAAGUACCCCGAGGAAAAGAAAUCAACCGAGAUUCCCCCAGUAGCGGCGAGCGAACGGGGAGCAGCCCAGAGCCUGAAUCAGUGUGUGUGUUAGUGGAAGCGUCUGGAAAGGCGCGCGAUACAGGGUGACAGCCCCGUACACAAAAAUGCACAUACUGUGAGCUCGAUGAGUAGGGCGGGACACGUGGUAUCCUGUCUGAAUAUGGGGGGACCAUCCUCCAAGGCUAAAUACUCCUGACUGACCGAUAGUGAACCAGUACCGUGAGGGAAAGGCGAAAAGAACCCCGGCGAGGGGAGUGAAAAAGAACCUGAAACCGUGUACGUACAAGCAGUGGGAGCACGCUUAGGCGUGUGACUGCGUACCUUUUGUAUAAUGGGUCAGCGACUUAUAUUCUGUAGCAAGGUUAACCGAAUAGGGGAGCCGAAGGGAAACCGAGUCUUAACUGGGCGUUAAGUUGCAGGGUAUAGACCCGAAACCCGGUGAUCUAGCCAUGGGCAGGUUGAAGGUUGGGUAACACUAACUGGAGGACCGAACCGACUAAUGUUGAAAAAUUAGCGGAUGACUUGUGGCUGGGGGUGAAAGGCCAAUCAAACCGGGAGAUAGCUGGUUCUCCCCGAAAGCUAUUUAGGUAGCGCCUCGUGAAUUCAUCUCCGGGGGUAGAGCACUGUUUCGGCAAGGGGGUCAUCCCGACUUACCAACCCGAUGCAAACUGCGAAUACCGGAGAAUGUUAUCACGGGAGACACACGGCGGGUGCUAACGUCCGUCGUGAAGAGGGAAACAACCCAGACCGCCAGCUAAGGUCCCAAAGUCAUGGUUAAGUGGGAAACGAUGUGGGAAGGCCCAGACAGCCAGGAUGUUGGCUUAGAAGCAGCCAUCAUUUAAAGAAAGCGUAAUAGCUCACUGGUCGAGUCGGCCUGCGCGGAAGAUGUAACGGGGCUAAACCAUGCACCGAAGCUGCGGCAGCGACGCUUAUGCGUUGUUGGGUAGGGGAGCGUUCUGUAAGCCUGUGAAGGUGUACUGUGAGGUAUGCUGGAGGUAUCAGAAGUGCGAAUGCUGACAUAAGUAACGAUAAAGCGGGUGAAAAGCCCGCUCGCCGGAAGACCAAGGGUUCCUGUCCAACGUUAAUCGGGGCAGGGUGAGUCGACCCCUAAGGCGAGGCCGAAAGGCGUAGUCGAUGGGAAACAGGUUAAUAUUCCUGUACUUGGUGUUACUGCGAAGGGGGGACGGAGAAGGCUAUGUUGGCCGGGCGACGGUUGUCCCGGUUUAAGCGUGUAGGCUGGUUUUCCAGGCAAAUCCGGAAAAUCAAGGCUGAGGCGUGAUGACGAGGCACUACGGUGCUGAAGCAACAAAUGCCCUGCUUCCAGGAAAAGCCUCUAAGCAUCAGGUAACAUCAAAUCGUACCCCAAACCGACACAGGUGGUCAGGUAGAGAAUACCAAGGCGCUUGAGAGAACUCGGGUGAAGGAACUAGGCAAAAUGGUGCCGUAACUUCGGGAGAAGGCACGCUGAUAUGUAGGUGAAGUCCCUCGCGGAUGGAGCUGAAAUCAGUCGAAGAUACCAGCUGGCUGCAACUGUUUAUUAAAAACACAGCACUGUGCAAACACGAAAGUGGACGUAUACGGUGUGACGCCUGCCCGGUGCCGGAAGGUUAAUUGAUGGGGUCAGCGCAAGCGAAGCUCUUGAUCGAAGCCCCGGUAAACGGCGGCCGUAACUAUAACGGUCCUAAGGUAGCGAAAUUCCUUGUCGGGUAAGUUCCGACCUGCACGAAUGGCGUAAUGAUGGCCAGGCUGUCUCCACCCGAGACUCAGUGAAAUUGAACUCGCUGUGAAGAUGCAGUGUACCCGCGGCAAGACGGAAAGACCCCGUGAACCUUUACUAUAGCUUGACACUGAACAUUGAGCCUUGAUGUGUAGGAUAGGUGGGAGGCUUUGAAGUGUGGACGCCAGUCUGCAUGGAGCCGACCUUGAAAUACCACCCUUUAAUGUUUGAUGUUCUAACGU